rnacentral:sRNA from 2 species
AAAAGCAGAACAAAGACUAAGAACGCCACGUCCUGUGGCAGCGCCUUUGUGACCCGCCUCCUGUGGG